UACGUAGGCAGCAAGCGUUGUUCGGAGUUACUGGGCGUAAAGGGUGCGUAGGUGGCUCUAUAAGUAUGGUGUGAAAUCUCCCGCUUAACUGGGAGGGUGCGCCGUAGACUGUGGGGCUAGAGUGUGGGAGAGGAAAGUGGAAUUCCUGGUGUAGCGGUGAAAUGCGUAGAUAUCAGGAGGAACACCGGUGGUGUAAACGGCUUUCU
rnacentral:rRNA from 1 species